UACGUGAAACCGUUCAGGGGUAAAACCUGAAAACCCGAAAGGUCGAACAGGGAGAUUCAUCGCGUCUCUGUGCCGGCGAUGUGAUUGUUGUGCGACGAAUGUGCGCGUGUGUGUAUGCAUCUUGUGUGUGUGCGCGUACGUGUCGUGUUUGCGCCUUCAAUUCUUAUGAACUGGUAUGGAACGUGUGCACUUCUCCCUUAGUAGGACGUCGCGAUCCGUUGGGUGUCGGCUUAAGGUCCGCAAUGGAGCCCGUUCGUGUGGUGUGCACCUGCACAUUGCACGUUCGGACCUGCGGUUGCCCGGCCGACUUGCCCGACGGUGUACAGAUGGCGGAGGGCCGUGACACAACUAGUUCACGUUCGACCUAUGGCAAGCGCGCUGUGUCUCGUUCAGCGAUCGGACCUGGUCCGGUCCUGAUCCUCAGUGGCUGUUCGCCAUAGUGUUCUCGGACUGGCCUUUGUGACGCCUAUCUGCGACGCUAUUGCUUUGGGUACUUUCAGGACCCGUCUUGAAACACGGACCAAGGAGUCUAGCAUGUGCGCAAGUCAUUGGGAUACACUAAACCUACAGGCGUAAUGAAAGUAAAGGUCCACUCUAUGUGGACCUAGGGAAGAUGGGCGGUCAUCAGCGACGAUGCCGCCCCGCACUCCCGGGGCGUCUCAUUCUCAUUGCGAGAGGAGGCGCACCAAGAGCGUACAUGCUGGGACCCGAAAGAUGGUGAACUAUGCCUGGUCAGGACGAAGUCAGGGGAAACCCUGAUGGAGGUCCGUAGCGAUUCUGACGUGCAAAUCGAUCGUCGGAACUAGGGUAUAGGGGCGAAAGACCAAUCGAACCUC
rnacentral:rRNA from 1 species